ACUCUUCCAGCUCAAAUGUUUGCAAGGAUCACCAAAAGUCUUUGAGACAACACUGAAGAACUGCUACAGGCAGAUAACUGCUUUUGACACACACCCAUGACAUGCAAAUGAUUAUGAGUGCAUGCCAUGAUACUGGAAGGGUUUCUGGCUUUCAAAAUUGGUCCCAGAAAAAAUACUAUACUACAGCAGUGGUUGAAAGUGUGAAGGACACUAUAGAAGUACUUCAGAAGAUUGUGGAAGAUGGAGAAAGUUGGAAAACAAAAUAGAAGAGAAAACUGGAGGACUGAAAAGAGAAAGUAAUAAUAAUUAUGGUAAUAAUUAUGG